GUUGUAGAAAUGCCUCGUCACCUCUUCUCGUCUUCUUGCUUCUCGUCUUUAGACAGAAGACAAAGACUGGUCUGAUGAAGCUCCUGCAGGUGGCGCUGUGCUCGGCCCGUCGCACAGAGGGAAAAACCUCAGGAGUUUCCUGUUGGAGCAGCUCAGACUGAUUGACUGACAGCUCACCGCCUCUGACCGAGAUCACACAGGUGUUUACAGGUUUCAGAAGCUCAGAGUGAGCUGCUCCACCUUCGCCAUCUUGGCAGCGUCUGACUCCGCCCCCUAACUCCCAGCUAAUCCAAAAAUUGUCAAAAAGCAGCUCAUCUGUCCAGAUUAAAGAGAAGCUACACUGUCGUCUCCCCCUCCGUCCUCUGCGCUUCAGGUGGCCGAAGGUCCAUCCAUCCGUGUCGAAGGAGGCGAGGCUCCGGGUCGACCUCUGACCUCUGAGACCUCCGGUGGAGCAGCUACAUGUAUGAGGUCUAUUUAUUCGGGUCGGGUCUGGCGCCGCUCAGGUCCCGCCUCAGAUCUGCUCUCUCUUGGGAGGAUUUUCCUUGGGCCCAGUUUGGAUCAGACCCAUGAGGAGCAG